rnacentral:rRNA from 1 species
CUUUCUUUGCUGGCGACCGGCGCACGGGUGAGUAACACGUAUCCAACCUGCCCUUUACUCGGGGAUAGCCUUUCGAAAGAAAGAUUAAUACCCGAUAGUAUAAUGAUUCCGCAUGGUUUCAUUAUUAAAGGAUUCCGGUAAAGGAUGGGGAUGCGUUCCAUUAGGUUGUUGGUGAGGCAACGGCUCACCAAGCCUUCGAUGGAUAGGGGUUCUGAGAGGAAGGUCCCCCACAUUGGAACUGAGACACGGUCCAA